rnacentral:rRNA from 1 species
UGACCGCUGGCGGCGUGCCUACUACAUGCAAGUCGAGCGAACGGACGCGAAGCUUGCUUCUCUGAUGUUAGCGGCGGACGGGUGAGUAACACGUGGAUAACCUACCUAUAAGACUGGGAUAACUUCGGGAAACCGGAGCUAAUACCGGAUAAUAUUUUGAACCGCAUGGUUCAAAAGUGAAAGACGGUCCUGCUGUCACUUAUAGAUGGAUCCGCGCUGCAUUAGCUAGUUGGUAAGGUAACGGCUUACCAAGGCAACGAUGCAUAGCCGACCUGAGAGGGUAAUCGGCCACACUGGAACUGAGACACGGUCCAGACUCCUACGGGAGGCAGCAGUAGGGAAUCUUCCGCAAUGGGCGAAAGCCUGACGGAGCAACGCCGCGUGAGUGAUGAAGGUCUUCGGAUCGUAAAACUCUGUUAUUAGGGAAGAACAUAUGUGUAAGUAACUGUGCACAUCUUGACGGUACCUAAUCAGAAAGCCACGGCUAACUACGUG